UACGUAGGGUGCGAGCGUUAAUCGGAAUUACUGGGCGUAAAGCGUGCGUAGGCGGUUUCGCAAGUCCGCUGUGAAAGCCCCGGGCUUAACCUGGGAAUGGCAGUGGAAACUAUGGGACUUGAAUCUGGCAGAGGGGGGUGGAACUCCAGGUGUAGCGGUGAAAUGCGUAGAUAUCUGGAGGAAUACCGGUGGCGAAGGCGGCAUCCUGGACCGGCAUUGACGCUGAGGAGCGAAAGCUAGGGGAGCAAACGGG
rnacentral:rRNA from 1 species